rnacentral:rRNA from 1 species
GACAAGUUUCUAAGAGCAAACGGUGGAUGCCUUGGCAUGUAGAGCCGAAGAAGGACGUAUAAAUCUGCGAUAAGCCUCGGGGAGCUGAUAAUAGAGCUGUGAUCCGAGGAUUUCCGAAUGGGGAAACCCGG